rnacentral:rRNA from 1 species
UAAUAGCGUAUAUUAAAGUUGUUGCAGUUAAAAAGCUCGUAGUUGAAUGUUGGUGUCGAACGAGCGGUCAGCUUCGGCUGUACUGCUCUCUCGACUCCUUCCUUCUGUGGACUACGUCGCACUUUACUGUGUGGCGCUAGGACGCAGAUCGUUUACUGUGAAAAAAUUAGAGUGUUCAAAGCAGGCCGUACGCUUGAAUACAUUAGCAUGGAAUAAUGGAAUAGGACGUCGGGCCUAUUUUGUUGGUUCUAGGACCGUCGUAAUGAUUAAUAGGGACAGUUGGGGCCGUUUAUAUUCCGUAGUCAGAGGUGAAAUUCUUGGAUUUACGGAAGAUAAACUACUGCGAAAGCAUUCGGCAAGGAUGUUUNCGUUAA